rnacentral:rRNA from 1 species
GACGAACGCUGGCGGCGUGCCUAAUACAUGCAAGUAGAACGCUGAAGGAGGAGCUUGCUCUUCUGGAUGAGUUGCGAACGGGUGAGUAACGCGUAGGUAACCUGCCUGGUAGUGGGGGAUAACUAUUGGAAACGAUAGCUAAUACCGCAUAAUAACAGUUGUUGCAUGACAACUGUUUGAAAGGUGCAAUUGCAUCACUACCAGAUGGACCUGCGUUGUAUUAGCUAGUUGGUGGGGUAACGGCUCACCAAGGCGACGAUACAUAGCCGACCUGAGAGGGUGAUCGGCCACACUGGGACUGAGACACGGCCCAGACUCCUACGGGAGGCAGCAGUAGGGAAUCUUCGACAAUGGACGAAAGUCUGACCGAGCAACGCCGCGUGAGUGAAGAAGGUUUUCGGAUCGUAAAGCUCUGUUGUAAGAGAAGAACGAGUGUGAGAGUGGAAAGUUCACACUGUGACGGUAUCUUACCAGAAAGGGACGGCUAACUACGUG